rnacentral:rRNA from 1 species
UACAGAGGAUGCAAGCGUUAUCCGGAAUGAUUGGGCGUAAAGCGUCUGUAGGUGGCUUUUUAAGUCCGCCGUCAAAUCCCAGGGCUCAACUCUGGACAGGCGGUGGAAACUACCAAGCUGGAGUACGGUAGGGGCAGAGGGAAUUUCCGGUGGAGCGGUGAAAUGCGUAGAGAUCGGAAGGAACGCCGGUGGCGAAAGCACUCUGCUGGGCCGACACUGACACUGAGAGACGAAAGCUAGGGGAGCGAAUGGG